GUAUUAGAUAGCUAGUCACUCAAAUCAUGUAAUAACAAGUCAAUGGCUUACGCAGUAGCAGUGAAAUGAGCACGCACUCCAGACACUUGAUAUGAUUUAUCCAUUUUUUAAAAACUCGCCCACCACCUUUUAUACUAAAUGCGCGAAUACAUCUUUUCCAUUAAACCAGCACGAGGGAGUUAGCAUAAAUGAUUCUAAGUAAGAGUUU
rnacentral:lncRNA from 1 species